AACGGGUGGUAAUGCCGGAUGCUCCAUCACAUCGCAUGGUGUGUUGGGAAAGCCUUUGCGGCAUGGGAUGGGGUCGCGUCCUAUCAGCUUGAUGGCGGGGUAACGGCCCACCAUGGCUUCGACGGGUAGCCGGCCUGAGAGGGCGACCGGCCACAUUGGGACUGAGAUACGGCCCAGACUCCUACGGGAGGCAGCAGUGGGGAAUAUUGCACAAUGGGCGCAAGCCUGAUGCAGCGACGCCGCGUGAGGGAUGGAGGCCUUCGGGUUGUAAACCUCUUUUGUUAGGGAGCAAGGCAUUUUGUGUUGAGUGUACCUUUCGAAUAAGCACCGGCUAACUACGUGCCAGCAGCCGCGGUAAUACGUAGGGUGCAAGCGUUAUCCGGAAUUAUUGGGCGUAAAGGGCUCGUAGGCGGUUCGUCGCGUCCGGUGUGAAAGUCCAUCGCUUAACGGUGGAUCCGCGCCGGGUACGGGCGGGCUUGAGUGCGGUAGGGGAGACUGGAAUUCCCGGUGUAACGGUGGAAUGUGUAGAUAUCGGG
rnacentral:rRNA from 1 species